rnacentral:ncRNA from 1 species
UAAGGUGCUUUUGGAUUGCAAGCCAAAAGUUAAAAGGGAAACAGGUUAAAGUCCUGUACGAUCUCGUCACUGUGUUUAGGGAGUCCUUAUAUAGUUAGUGUCACUGGAUUAUUUCCGGGAAGGCCAUAUAUAGGGAUUAUGAUCUUUGAGUCAGGAGACCUGCCUUAUGUUG